GGGGAUGUAGCUCAGUGGUAGAGUGCAUGUUCUGCAUGUAUGAGACCUUGGGUUCCAUCUCCAGUAACCCCC
rnacentral:tRNA from 1 species